GAUGAACGCUGGCGGCGUGCCUAAUACAUGCAAGUCGAGCGAAGCGGGGACGGGUGAGUGAGACAUGGAUGACCUUCUAUAAGUCUGGGAUAACUUCGGUAAACCGGAGCUAAAAUGCAUACGUUUUGAUGGAUCCGGGCUGCAUUAGCUGGUUGGUAAGGUAACGGCUCACCAAGGCAACGAUGCAUAGCCGACCUGAGAGGGUGAUCUGCCACACUGGAACUGAGACACGGUCCAGACUCCUACGGGAGGCAGCAGUAGGGAAUCUUCCGCAAUGGGCGAAAGCCUGACGGAGCAACGCCGCGUGAGUGAAGAAGGUCUUCGGAUCGUAAAACUCUGUUAUUAGGGAAGCGGUACCUAAUCAGAAAGCAACGGCUAACUACGUGCCAGCAGCCGCGGUAAUAC
rnacentral:rRNA from 1 species